rnacentral:rRNA from 1 species
UACGUAGGUGGCAAGCGUUGUCCGGAAUUAUUGGGCGUAAAGCGCGCGCAGGCGGCCUCUUAAGUCUGAUGUGAAAGCCCCCGGCUCAACCCGGGGAGGGCCAUUGGAAACUGGGAGGCUUGAGUAUAGGAGAGAAGAGUGGAAUUCCACGUGUAGCGGUGAAAUGCGUAGAGAUGUGGAGGAACACCAGUGGCGAAGGCGACUCUUUGGCCUAUAACUGACGCUGAGGCGCGAAAAGCGUGGGGAGCAAACAGG